rnacentral:pre_miRNA from 1 species
AAAUGAAUCAUCUGGAAAUCUUAUUAAAAUGCAGAUUCUGAUCCCCUAGGUCUGGGAUGGGGCCUGAGACUCUGCAUUUCUAACAGGCUCCUGAGUGAUGCCAAU